rnacentral:rRNA from 1 species
CCUACGGGAGGCAGCAGUGAGGAAUAUUGGUCAAUGGACGAGAGUCUGAACCAGCCAAGUAGCGUGAAGGAUGACUGCCCUAUGGGUUGUAAACUUCUUUUAUAUGGGAAUAAAAUGUUCCACGUGUGGGAUUUUGUAUGUACCAUAUGAAUAAGGAUCGGCUAACUCCGUGCCAGCAGCCGCGGUAAUACGGAGGAUCCGAGCGUUAUCCGGAUUUAUUGGGUUUAAGGGGAGCGUAGGUGGAUUGUUAAGUCAGUUGUGAAAGUUUGCGGCUCAACCGUAAAAUUGCAGUUGAAACUGGCAGUCUUGAGUACAGUAGAGGUGGGCGGAAUUCGUGGUGUAGCGGUGAAAGGCUUAGAUAUCACGAAGAACUCCGAUUGCGAAGGCAGCUCACUGGACUGCAACUGACACUGAGGCUCGAAAGUGUGGGUAUCAAACAGGAUUAGAUACCCGAGUAGUC